UGAAAGACAUUCGAAGGCUGCAUCUUCACC
rnacentral:piRNA from 1 species